rnacentral:rRNA from 1 species
GAUGAACGCUGGCGGCGUGCCUAAUACAUGCAAGUCGAGCGAACAGACGAGGAGCUUGCUCCUCUGACGUUAGCGGCGGACGGGUGAGUAACACGUGGAUAACCUACCUAUAAGACUGGGAUAACGUCGGGAAACCGGAGCUAAUACCGGAUAAUAUAUUGAACCGCAUGGUUCAAUAGUGAAAGACGGUUUUGCUGUCACUUAUAGAUGGAUCCGCGCCGCAUUGGCUAGUUGGUAAGGUAACGGCUUACCAAGGCGACGAUGCGUAGCCGACCUGAGAGGGUGAUCGGCCACACUGGAACUGAGACACGGUCCAGACUCCUACGGGAGGCAGCAGUAGGGAAUCUUCCGCAAUGGGCGAAAGCCUGACGGAGCAACGCCGCGUGAGUGAUGAAGGUCUUCGGAUCGUAAAACUCUGUUAUUAGGGAAGAACAAAUGUGUAAGUAACUAUGCACGUCUUGACGGUACCUAAUCAGAAAGCCACGGCUAACUACGUG